rnacentral:lncRNA from 1 species
NNNNNNNNNNNNNNNNNNNNNNNNNNNNNNNNNNNNNNNNNNNNNNNNNNNNNNNNNNCACGCCCACGGCCACGGCCACGGCUCUGUGCACGGCUCUGUGCACGCCUCUGUGCACGCCUCGCACGGCCCCGGCUCGCACCGGCACCGCCACGGCCCCACGCACGCCUCGCACGGCCCCACGCACGGCUUGUGCACGGCCACGGCUGCCUCUGUGCACGCCUCGCACGGCCCCGGCUCGCACCGGCACCGCCACAGCCCCACGCACGCCUCGCACGGCCCCACACACGGCUCGUGCACGCCCACGGCGACGGCUGCCUCUGUGCACGCCUCGCACGCCGCUCGCACAGCCCCGGCUCACACCAGCACCGCCACGGCCCCACGCACACUUUGCAUGGCCCCGUGAACGGCUCAGCUCCGGCUCGCACGGCUCCGCGCACGGCCCCACGCACGCCUCGCACGGCCCCACACACGGCUCGUGCACGCCCACGGCUACGGCUGCCUCUGUGCACACUUUGCACGCCUUGCACGGCCCCGGCUCACACCGGCACCGCCACGGCCCCCACGCACGCCUCGCACGGCCCCGUGCACGGCUCAGCUCCGGCUUGCACAGCUCCGCACACGGCCCCACGCACGCCUCGCACGGCCCCACGCACAGCUCGUGCAUGCCCACGGUGACGGCUCUGUGCACGCCUCGCACGCCGCUCGCACAGCCCCGGCUCACACCAGCACCGCCACGGCCCCACGCACGCCUCUCAUGGCCCCGUGCACGGCUCAGCUCCGGCUCACACGGCUCCACGCACACCUUGCACCAGCACCCACCCGCGCACGGCCCCAGCUUGCACCAGCACCGCCACGGCCCACGCACAGUUCACGCACAGCUUGUGCACGGCUACGGCGCACCCACGGCUUGCACAGGGCUCGCACAAGCAUGGUGCAACGUGGGCACGGCUCGCAUGAGCACGGCCACGGCCCGCGCACGCCUCGCACGAGCAGGGUGCACACGCGGGCACGGUGCACACGAGCACAGCUCGCACACGGUUCACGCACGGCUUGUGCACAGCUGUGGCGCACGCACGGCUUGCACAGGGCUCACACGAGCACGGUGCACACGUGGGCACGGUGCACACAAGCACGGCUCGCACACGGUUCACGCACGGCUUGUGCACGGCUGUGGCACACGCACGGCUUGCACAGGGCUCGCACGAGCAGGGUGCACACGCAGGCAC